UUCAUCAUCAACUGUCUCAAAUGAGAAACAAAACAGAAAUAAAUAGCAGAACACAAAUCCUAAAGAGAAGGGUUUGGGCCAAACUCACUAAACAAGCCCAAUAACGAAAACAUAAACAAUAGUCCAAAUAAAUUAUAACUAAUAGUCCAAAUAGAAAAUAAAUAAUAAAUGGAUGUCCGCAUCAACUCUCGGGGGGUGGGAGAAAAACUCGACCCCGUCGAGUAGAUAAAGCAGAAUGUUGCACUGAAUUUGAUGCGAAAGGCUCCAAGUCAUGCCACGGGGGACGAUCUUUCUCGAUGACCAAAUACCGAAACUCCACAAAUGAUAAUAAGGAUAGUUGUAGCUUAUCCUCAAGGAUAUGAUCCAACCAAGGAGGACGAUCUUUCUUUGUAAUCACAUACCGAUACUGAACUCCCAAUAGUAAAAAUUCAUGCCACUCAUCUCCAAAAUCUUCUUCAUUGGUCAACACAACCUGUUUAUCUAAAAUAGCAUCAAUUACAUCUUUGUGUGCUGUGACAUGUGUUAUUGGAGUGAAAAUGAUAAUAUAUUUAGGUUGGGGAUCCACAUAAGGAAGUAGAAAAGAAUCAUCAAGGAAAUUAAAAAGGCCUUUGUAAGUAACUAAGUCUUCAAUAUGUAGAGUAGAGUGGUGGCCAAAAUGUGAUGAAAAAUUAAUGACAUGUGCGUAUGGACCAACAUGCUUUAAAACUUUAAAAGGACCAGCACUACCGGCUUGCAAUAUAACAUAAUCCCCAAUAUGAAAUUGAAAAUAUUGU
rnacentral:lncRNA from 1 species